UAAAGAAAGCGUAAUAGCUCACUGGUCGAGUCGGCCUGCGCGGAAGAUGUAACGGGGCUAAACCAUGCACCGAAGCUGCGGCAGCGACACUAUGUGUUGUUGGGUAGGGGAGCGUUCUGUAAGCCUGCGAAGGUGGCCUGUGAGGGUUGCUGGAGGUAUCAGAAGUGCGAAUGCUGACAUAAGUAACGAUAAAGCGGGUGAAAAGCCCGCUCGCCGGAA
rnacentral:rRNA from 1 species